rnacentral:rRNA from 1 species
CCUACGGGGGGCUGCAGUGAGGAAUAUUGGGCAAUGGGCGGAAGCCUGACCCAGCAACGCCGCGUGGAGGAAGACGGCCUUCGGGUUGUAAACUCCUUUUACGGGGGAAGAGGAAGGACGGUACCCCGAGAAUAAGUCACGGCUAACUACGUGCCAGCAGCCGCGGUAAUACGUAGGUGACAAGCGUUAUCCGGAAUUACUGGGCGUAAAGCGCACGCAGGCGGCGCAUUAAGUCUGACGUGAAAUCUCCCGGCUUAACUGGGAGGGGUCGUUGGAGACUGAUGUGCUUGAGGCGGUGAGAGGGGUGUAGAAUUCCCGGUGUAGUGGUGGAAUGCGUAGAUAUCGGGAGGAAUACCAGUGGCGAAAGCGGCACCCUGGCACUAGCCUGACGCUCAUGUGCGAAGGCGUGGGGAGCGAACGGGAUUAGAUACCCGUGUAGUC